rnacentral:piRNA from 1 species
UGGGAUUUUGGUACAUGGCA